UCGACUCGUCCAGGGACGUCGGCGUUAUCUCGAUUGCAUCGCGUCACCAAGUGCAGCUGCAAUUUAUCGUUGCAUUUACUGUCGCGUUGGUACAAUGAAUUUACUACAAUAUUGCCGUCGGUAUACCGUAUCUCACGACGCGUGCCAUCCGCGUACCUUAACUAAUACAUAAAUCCAAUGAUAAUAUUUAUCAUAUAGGUGAAGUAAGAGGAACAGGCGGGAUGGACGGGAGAGUAAAGAAGAAGAAGAAGAAGAAGAAGAAGAAGAAGAAGAAAAGAAAAAGAAAGGAACAAGAAAAGCAAAAGGAAAGGAAAAAAAAAGUGGACUAUAAGAAGGUCUUUGCGAGUAUUAAGAAACCUUAUCGAUAUUGAGUCUGGUGAGCACAAUUAGAUUCGUCGUAGAUCAAGCGAGCGCCAUUAGCUGCGACAAGAAGUUAACGAUUAUCUCGACAAACAUAUAAUAUCUUUCAAGAAAGAAGGUGGAAGGCGACGACGGCUUUGGAUUUGUGAUCCCUUCGCCAGGAAAAUAAGACGAGCGUACCUCCGUCCUCACAACUUUCCACGACUCGGAUAGAGCUUAUAGAGAAUUUUAUGCAAGCUGCCAGGCAGCCAGGACGAAGACGACGCUUGUCGGUGAUGACGCGACACUACCGGAGUUAAGUGGCGAAACGCGCGGAUGGCAAAAGUAAAAAAGAAAAAAGAAAAGGAAAAAAAGAAGAAGAAGUCCAAUGAAAAAAAAAACCGACUCGAAACCGAAGCGAAGCGAAGCGGCUAAAACAAAAGAGGUGCGGAGGUGUGACGAAACGCCGAGAUCGGUGAAGAAGGAGGAGGAGGAGGAGGAGGAGGAGGAGGACCGACCCCUCCGAUCUACACCUUUCUCUUUCUCUCGAUUCAUUCCCUAUCCUUCUCCCUUACCCUCUCCCUAUUCUUUUUAGCCUUUAGCUUACGGAUCUUUCAAAAAAAAGUUCAUUCUUCACGAGCCACCUUGUGUAUCGCCUCCUCCUCCUCUACCCUUCCUCACCCUCCAACGCCCGCUUGCCAACCGAUUCUUUCGUUCGAUUCAAUUUCUAUAUAUCUGCUUUAUCGAUCUUCAUGAAAAAAAAAAAAAAAGAAAAAAAAAAAAAGAAAUGUAAUUAUACAUAUAUGUAUACAUAUAUAAAAAUAUCUUAUAUGAAGAAGGAAAUAAAUUAUAUAUAUAUAUAAAAAAAAGGGUGAAAAAAAAGAAAAGUAAAAAAAAAUGGCACGAAGGGAAAGCGUGUCAAAUUUAUUAACACCGACUUAUAUUCCAAAAUUGAUUCUAGAAUUUAUAUCCGGAUGAAUAAUUAUUCAUUUAAAAAAAAAAAAAAAUCAUGUCCUGUGACGCGAAGUUUUGAAAGAUGUAAAUAUGACAAGAAAAGAAGAAAAAAAAAAAAAAAGAAAGAAAAAUAAAUAAACAAAUAAAAUAUAAA